rnacentral:miRNA from 1 species
AUGCGGGUGGACGCGGCAGGAGCUCGCCUGUCCUUUGUGUUC